UGCCAGCCGCCGCGGUAAUACGGAGGGGGUUAGCGUUGUUCGGAAUUACUGGGCGUAAAGCGCGCGUAGGUGGUCAAGUCAGUCAGAUGUGAAAGCCCUGGGCUCAACCUGGGAACUGCAUCUGAUACUGCAUAACUAGAGUAUGGUAGAGGGAAGUGGAAUUUCCGGUGUAGCGGUGAAAUGCGUAGAUAUCGGAAGGAACACCAGUGGCGAAGGCGACUUCCUGGGCCAAUACUGACGCUGAGGUGCGAAAGCGUGGGGAGCGAACGGGAUUAGAUA
rnacentral:rRNA from 1 species